AUGGCUCCUUGUCGCGAACUCGACAGCGUCCAUGUGCAGGGACAGGCGGAGGCUGGUGCCGGCAAGCAGGCAGUGGAGCGCGUUGACGGAGCCGUGGUGGAGGUCAUGGGCGCCGAUCUGCUCCACCCACCUCGAGCCGACGCGAGGAAGAGGGAAGAUAGCUCAUUAACUCUGCAGUGGCGCCAUGGCUGCCGGAUGGCGAGCGCCUCAUCGCGGCUGCUGGCCACGAGCGCCUCACCACGGCUUCUGGCCGACGAGCAUAGGGGAGCUCGGCUGCUGGGAAUGGAGCUCCGCAGCAGCGGCUCGGUGGAGGCAGGCAAUGGAUAA
rnacentral:rRNA from 1 species